ensembl:lncRNA
AGAAUGUGUACAGGAGGGGCCGUGAGGAAAGAUUAUUUUUGAAAGAGGCCAUUCAGGGAAUGCAAAGGGUUAACCUGCCCUCCUCCUGAAGAACCUGCUACCCAAAUCAGCCUCCUCUACAUCACCAGACCUAGAGCAGCAGUUGGUCCUACGGAUCCCCCUGCUCUCCACAGGCACAGCCCCAUCCCACUUCUAACUCUGUUUUAACCGCCUCCACCCCCACCUUGAGCUCCAGUGGAUGGUGGAGACCUAAACUCAUUCAUUUCCAGGUGGAGAAAAUGGAGGCGGGGCAGGUCCCUGCAGAGAAAGGAGGCCAAGAACUGGAUCUUCCUACCUAGGAAGGCUGCUAUGAUCAUCCCUUUUCCCCGCCCUGGGCAGGGGCCUGUCUCUACAAGGCCAAGGCCAUAAGGGAUGCUGAGGAUUUUAUUUGAUUCCUGACACAGUAAGCAAAACCUAAGAGUCUCCGCUGAAACUUGCUGAGGAGCUCUUUCAUCGCCAAAGCCUCAGCCUAGUCCACUCAGUCAAUUAGUAUUCAUGGACCCCUAGCCUUAUUUCCUCCCGAAUAUUUUUGUAGUACCUACUAUGUGCCAAUCAUUGGGUAAUUGUUGUAUCUUAGAUUCUUCCUUUGCCCUCCUAAGGGAGUGUCUGGAGUCAGGUGAGAUUAAGUUCACUGUGCCCCAUCUAGACACUUCCAGAACCUUCUUUGGGUCCGACAGAAAUGCACCAGAACCUGCUCACCCCUGCAGAGAGGAGACUGCAGUCCACAUCAUGCAAACUGCAAGCGCAAUGCUGUCCUUCAGAUCCCGGAAGGCCAGCCUGGCUGGAGGACAGAAGAGAAAGCAGCUUCUCUGGCCCCUGAGCCUUAGCCAGUGUUGUCUUAAGAGGCGCCCGCAGCCACUGCCUUCAAAAUAGUCCUCCCUCUAAACAGUCCCUCUUUGGUUCUCCUCUCCUUCCUCUGAGGGCUGCUCUGACAGUUCUUUGGGGCUGAUCUUAAGCCUCUGAUGACCAACCCUCGACCCCACAGUUGUUCACGUAAAUGAGCUUUAUCUCCCUAAUUGCUUCCCUGUAAUUCCAUCAGAUGUGGCCGUGCCCUCUGCUGAUGUGCCUGCUGCCAGCAUCUCCAGACGCCUUUCCCAAGUAAUGUCCCUCUAAGGUGGAAACCUAACACGCUUCUCCCUGAGAGUUUAAACCGCAGGCACCAUGGACCAGGCCUUCCGGCUUCCUGCUGCAGAUCAUUAGGAGGGAGGGGCAUGCUUUAUUUUAUUACUUAUGUAAACUCUUGUUCCAGAAAGCUCUUAUGUGUGGGGAGUGUUCUGGGUUUGUUGGGGCUUUUCCAGUAUUCACCAGGUCUCAUUAUGAAAUGUGUUUGUAUGGAGGGGGCUUUAAUGGCUGAAAUGGCAGCGAUGAAUACACCACUCUUUCCCCUGGGUAAUUUCAAGGCCCCUUCUGUGUGCACCAAAUAGAGGUGUGGGGUGAAGUUCAGUCCUGGCAUCUUUCGGCUCUGUUAGAGGCUUGUUUAUGCCUAGCGAUACCUAGGUAAGAAACCUAACAAUUUCUGCUCUUUCAAAGCAUUUUUUUUUUUUUAGUCUGUAUUUGUUACAAUACUGCUUUUGUUUUGUUUGGGUUUUUUGGCCGGGAGGCAUAUGGGAUCUUGGCUCCCCACUGGGGAUGGAACCUACACCCCCUGUAUUGGAAGGUGAAGUCUUCUUUUAACUCUCGAUAUAUCUUCACCUCUACCCAUUUGAGCCCCUCUAAUUACAACCUACGGCUUAAAUAAAGGAAAAACUAUUUUUUUUUUAAAAUAUGGGACAUGUUUGAGGCAGUUUGCCGACUGAAUAUGCUCUGAAGACCCAUGCCAUCGUUCACACACACCACCAUUAUUAUGGUCCUCGUUGUGAAAAGCAUCAUUAUGGUCCUCAUCGUGAUGGCCGCUCAUAGGUUUCUCAAGGAGUCAGUAUCAGAUGCUUUAAGAUGGAUUUAGAAAUGUAUCAAAGGAAAAAUUGGUAACACUCUUCUUUCCCCUGCCAGAGACCGCCCAGGCCCAGAACUCUAAGCAGAAAAGCAACUGAACUUUUAACAAAGGCAAAGAAGAGAGUCCUCCGGGGGCAGCUGUAAAGCCUUCUUCCUAGGACAGAUGGAACCACCCUUCCUCAGCUACUCUGUGGGUGGGUUUAGUGAGUCAAUAGGGGCUGAGGGAUGUGCUGGUGGCUUGUGUUUGUGGCUUGCCUGGCUGAUUCACGGUGCUGAGUAUGUCAAUAACAAUUAUGACAGUUUUAAUACCUAAUAAAGAUGUUUUCUUCCAAGUCCAAU